rnacentral:rRNA from 1 species
UACGGGGGGGGCAAGCGUUGUUCGGAAUUACUGGGCGUAAAGGGUUUGUAGGUGGCCCGCUAAGUCACACGUGAAAUCCCUCAGCUUAACUGGGGAACUGCGUGUGAGACUGGCAGGCUCGAGGGCAGGAGAGGAAGCGCGGAAUUCCAGGUGUAGCGGUGAAAUGCGUAGAUAUGCGGAGGAACACCGAUGGCGAAGGCAAUCCCCUGGACCUGGUACUGACGCUCAUGCACGAAAGCGUGGGGAGCAAACAGG